GAUGAACGCUGGCGGCGUGCCUAAUACAUGCAAGUCGAGCGUAUGGAUUAAGAGCUUGCUCUUAUGAAGUUAGCGGCGGACGGGCGAGUAACACGUGGGUAACCUGCCCAUAAGUCUGGGAUAACCCCGGGAAACCGGGGCUAAUACCGGAUAACAUUUUGAACCGCAUGGUUCGAAAUUGAAAGGCGGCCUCUGCCGUCACCUAUGGAUGGACCGGCGUCGCAUUAGCUAGUUGGUGAGGUAACGGCUCACCAAGGCAACGAUGCGUAGCCGACCUGAGAGGGUGAUCGGCCACACUGGGACUGAGACACGGCCCAGACUCCUACGGGAGGCAGCAGUAGGGAAUCUUCCGCAAUGGACGAAAGUCUGACGGAGCAACGCCGCGUGAGUGAUGAAGGCUUUCGGGUCGUAAAACUCUGUUGUUAGGGAAGAACAAGUGCUGGUUGAAUAAGCUGGCACCUUGACGGUACCUAACCAGAAAGCCACGGCUAACUACGUGCCAGCCGCCGCGGUAA
rnacentral:rRNA from 1 species